GACGAACGCUGGCGGCGUGCUUAACACAUGCAAGUCGAACGGAAAGGCCUGCUUUCCCUUGUGGAUUGCGGGUGCUCGAGUGGCGAACGGGUGAGUAACACGUGAGUGAUCUGCCCCCAACUUGGGUAUAAGCCUGGGAAACUGGGUCUAAUUCCCGAUAGGACUGCAGGGUGGUGCCUGUGGUGGAAAACGAUUUUCUAGUGGUUGGGGAUGAGCUCGCGGCCUAUCAGCUUGUUGGUGGGGUAAUGGCCUACCAAGGCGGCGACGGGUAGCCGGCCUGAGAGGGUGGACGGCCACAUUGGGACUGAGAUACGGCCCAGACUCCUACGGGAGGCAGCAGUGGGGAAUAUGGCACAAUGGGCGGAAGCCUGAUGCAGCGACGCCGCGUGGGGGAUGACGGCCUUCGGGUUGUAAACUCCUUUCGACCGCGAGGAAGCCACCUGGUUGGAAGGGUGGUGACGGUAGUGGUAGAAGAAGCACCGGCUAACUACGUG
rnacentral:rRNA from 1 species